rnacentral:rRNA from 1 species
UACAGAGGUCCCAAGCGUUGUUCGGAUUCACUGGGCGUAAAGGGUGCGUAGGCGGUCGGGUAAGUCUGAUGUGAAAUCUCACAGCUUAACUGUGAAACUGCAUUGGAUACUAUCCGGCUCGAGGAAUGGAGGGGAGACUGGAAUACUUGGUGUAGCAGUGAAAUGCGUAGAUAUCAAGUGGAACACCGGUGGCGAAGGCGGGUCUCUGGGCAAUUCCUGACGCUGAGGCGCGAAAGCGUGGGGAGCAAACGGG